rnacentral:rRNA from 1 species
CACUCCUACGGGAGGCAGCAGUGGGGAAUUUUACGCAAUGGGGGAAACCCUGACGUAGCGACACCGCGUGAGCGAAGAAGCCCUUUGGGGUGUAAAGCUCUGUCAGCUGGAACGAAAACAAUGACGGUACCAGCAGAGGAAGCAUCGGCUAACUACGUGCCAGCAGCCGCGGUAAGACGUAGGAUGCGAGCGUUGUCCGGAUUUAUUGGGCGUAAAGAGUUCGUAGGUGGUUUGUUAAGUUUGGUGUUAAAGAUCGGGGCUCAACCCUGGGACUGCACUGAAUACUGGCAGACUCGAGUGUGGUAGAGGCUAGUGGAAUUCCCAGUGUAGCGGUGAAAUGCGUAGAUAUUGGGAAGAACACCGGUGGCGUAGGCGACUAGCUGGGCCAUAACUGACGCUGAGGAACGAAAGCCAGGGGAGCGAAUGGGAUUAGAAACCCGUGUAGUCCCAUGA